rnacentral:rRNA from 1 species
CCAAUAGCGUAUAUUAAAGUUGUUGCAGUUAAAAAGCUCGUAGUUGAAUUUCGGGAUUAGUACGUUGGUCGUGCCUUCGGUACGUACUGGUGUUACUGGUUCCUACCUUCUGACGAACCAUCAUGUCAUUAAUUUGGUGUGGCGGGGAAUCAGGACUGUUACUUUGAAAAAAUUAGAGUGUUUAAAGCAGGCUCGCGCUUGAAUACAUUA